rnacentral:rRNA from 1 species
AUUGAACGCUGCGGCAUGCCUUACACAUGCAAGUCGAACGGUAACAGGUCUUCGGAUGCUGACGAGUGGCGAACGGGUGAGUAAUACAUCGGAACGUGCCUAGUAGUGGGGGAUAACUACUCGAAAGAGUGGCUAAUACCGCAUGAGAUCUACGGAUGAAAGCAGGGGAUCGCAAGACCUUGUGCUACUAGAGCGGCCGAUGGCAGAUUAGGUAGUUGGUGGGAUAAAAGCUUACCAAGCCGACGAUCUGUAGCUGGUCUGAGAGGACGAUCAGCCAAACUGGGACUGAGACACGGCCCAGACUCCUACGGGAGGCAGCAGUGGGGAAUUUUGGACAAUGGGCGAAAGCCUGAUCCAGCAAUGCCGCGUGCAGGAUGAAGGCCUUCGGGUUGUAAACUGCUUUUGUACGGAACGAAAAGCCCUGAGUUAAUACCCUGGGGUCAUGACGGUACCGUAAGAAUAAGCACCGGCUAACUACGUGCCAGCCGCCGCGGUAA